UUUCUAACAUGAGCAAAACUAAACUAAAAAUAAUGCAAUUUUACACAUAUCACUUGCUUUUUCAGUCAAUAUUAUUAUAUAUAUUUUAUAAAAAAUUAAAGUAAAUUAUUGGGAGAAUGAACUUGACGGUUUGAUAAUAAAUUAUCAACAUUUGGCAUUAAUUUAGUCAGGUUUAACUUCAAAUUUAAUCGGUUAAUAAUGUCUGGUCUGUUUUUUUGUUAUGAAAUUCAUAACUACGUUGGAACCCUUUCCUACAAGGCGUGAAGAUGGGAAAGCUGAGAAAAAGAUUAAAUUUUUCAUUUAUAGAUGAAAUAAUAUAUUGUCUUUCUAAAAGGAAAUUUUCAUUAAAUAGACCCCCCAUUUUCAUUUCGACGAUCUGCAAUUUUUGGGAAUCACUGGUUUAAACAAUGAGUGCAAAACAUAAAUAAUGAUCGUAUCAUUUUCAAAAAAAAAUAAACUUCUGAAUUUUGGUAGCUGUCGCAAUGAAACGUAAUUUAUUUUCUAAGUUACUCAUAUGGGUUUUUGUAUUAUUUCUUUCACAAAUAAAUUUUAUUAAUGGAAAAAAAGAAAAAGAUGAAAUGCGUUGGAAUGUAGAUGUAUAUAGAGGCCCAAACAGCGAUGCACUUAAAUGGGGUUUUGUUAUAAGAGUGAAAUGUUAAAUCAGCAGACUGUUUCCAAAUAAAGUGACGCACUGUUCUUAAAUCCAUGUUUGGGUCAACAACCUAAAAAAUAUGUUAUGCAAGGAUAUAUACACAUAUAAUGUUCAAAGAAAUAUAACUAUAUACCAC